UAAGUUAUUAAGGGCACACGGUGGAUGCCUUGGCAUUAAGAGCCGAUGAAGGACGUGUGAAUCUGCGAUAAGCCUCGGGGAGCCGAUAACUGGGCUGUGAUCCGAGGAUUUCCGAAUGGGGAAACCUGGCUCAUCUUCAUGGUGAGUUACCGCCAGCUGAAUGUAUAGGCUGGUUGGGGGGAACGCGGGGAAGUGAAACAUCUCAGUACCCGCAGGAAGAGAAAAUAAAGUAAUGAUUCUGUGAGUAGUGGCGAGCGAAAGCGGAAGAGACUAAACCUGUGGUGUGUGAUAGCGGUUAGGCGUUGCAUCAUGGGGGUUGUGGGAGUCACAGUGGCAGUUCUAACUGGCUGCCGGCAUGAUGUUCAGGAUGGUAGGUGAACGACUUGGAAUGGUCGGCCGUAGAGGGUGAGAGUCCCGUAAUCGAAAUUGUUCUGUCCGUGGUGUGGCCACCCGAGUAGCACGGGGCUCGUGGAAUCUCGUGUGAAUCUGCCAGGACCACCUGGUAAGUCUAAAUACUUCUUAAUGACCGAUAGUGAAUCAGUACCGUGAGGGAAUGGUGAAAAGUACCCCGGGAGGGGAGUGAAAUAGUACCUGAAACCGUGUGCUUACAAGCCGUUGGAGCCUUUUGGGGUGACAGCGUGCCUUUUGAAGAAUGAGCCUGCGAGUUAGUGUUAUGUCGCGAGGUUAACCCGUGUGGGGUAUCCGUAGCGAAAGCGAGUCUGAAUAGGGCGUUUGAGUGGCAUGACCUAGACCCGAAGCGGAGUGAUCUAUCCAUGGCCAGGUUGAAGCGACGGUAAGACGUCGUGGAGGACCGAACCCACUUCAGUUGAAAAUGGAGGGGAUGAGCUGUGGGUAGGGGUGAAAGGCCAAUCAAACUCCGUGAUAGCUGGUUCUCCCCGAAAUGCAUUUAGGUGCAGCGUUACGUGUUUCUUGCCGGAGGUAGAGCUACUGGAUGGCCGAUGGGCCUUCACGGGUUACUGACGUCAGCUAAACUCCGAAUGCCGGUAAGUGAGAGCGUAGCAGUGAGACAGUGGGGGAUAAGCUUCAUUGUCGAGAGGGAAACAGCCCAGACCACCAACUAAGGCCCCUAAGCGUGUGCUAAGUGGGAAAGGAUGUGGAGUUGCUUAGACAACCAGGAGGUUGGCUUAGAAGCAGCCAUCCUUGAAAGAGUGCGUAACAGCUCACUGGUCAAGUGAUUCUGCGCCGAUAAUGUAGCGGGGCUCAAGUACACCGCCGAAGUUGUGGCAAUGAUCUUUUUGGAUUGUUGGGUAGGGGAGCGUCGUGUAGCCAGUGAAGCUGCGGUGUAAACCAGUGGUGGAGGCUAUGCGAGUGAGAAUGCAGGCAUGAGUAGCGA
rnacentral:rRNA from 1 species